GUCAAUUCUGUGGGUUGAAGGACAGAACCAGAUCAGAAGAAUCAGAGGAGUUAAAAGGAAUAGACAGAGUGGACAGCCAGCGCCUCUUUCCCAGGGCACCACUGCUCAAUACAAGAGGACGUGGCUUUAAGGAUUUUGGAUUGAAAGAUACAGUGGAGCUGUUGCCUGGUCUGGAGCUCGGCUAUUUACAGAAGGACUUAUCCCGAGACACUUGUUUGCAUUUCACUUGUAAGCAGCCUUUCCAACCUGGGCUGGAGCGACUGACAGGCUGCAAGGCAGUGUGAAGGAGGCAUGGCACAGCCUUAUAUGGGUGUAAAGUGGAGACAGCCAGAACUGGAUUGAAAGCAGAGUGCUACUCAAUGGGCCUUGCAAACACUGUUGUGCUGGGAUUUGAGCUCUUCCCUCUGGAUCAGAGUUCCAGGUUUUUCCAGUAACUCUCACACAGUGCUACUAUACUCUGUGUGCCAGCCAUGUAAAAGAGCUUUCCAGUCCAAGAUGCUGAAGGCUCGAAGGUCAUCGAUCUCAGCCCACACUGAGCCCCCAAUUCUGUUCUGCAAGAGUCAACCACAGUAACAUGGGUGAACUUGCAAGGAUUGCAUUCUCUGAAUUGUAACCUAUGAUUUUUCAUC